rnacentral:tRNA from 1 species
GGUAGUGUAUCCAAGAGGACAAAGGAUGCUGACUGUAAAUCAGAGGCCAACUGGCUUCGGGAGUUCGAAUCUCUCCACUACCGC